rnacentral:rRNA from 1 species
UACGUAGGGUGCAAGCGUUGUCCGGAAUUAUUGGGCGUAAAGAGCUCGUAGGCGGUUUGUCGCGUCUGCCGUGAAAGUCCGGGGCUCAACUCCGGAUCUGCGGUGGGUACGGGCAGACUAGAGUGAUGUAGGGGAGACUGGAAUUCCUGGUGUAGCGGUGAAAUGCGCAGAUAUCAGGAGGAACACCAGCGGCGAAGGCGGUGCUCUGGGCCGGAACUGACACUGAGGAGCGAAAGCGUGGGUAGCAAACAGG